GUUUCACGAAAAAGGUACAUGUAAUUAUGGUUUAGCAGUUGUUAUUUUCAAAAAAAUUUACACUUAAUGGCUUAGCAGUUGUAUUUUUUUAGGCAUUUAAAGCAUAUAAUUUUUAUGCAUUUUGAAAGAGGGAUAGUUUGGUCAUCCUUCUGAAAAUUCGGCCCGAAUCUACGAAAUCCAAAAAUGCAGCCUACUUUUGCAAAAGCGCAAAACUAAUAGAUUUUUUAUGCAAAUUGGUGUUAAAAAAAAAUUGAUGAUCACUUCCCUAAAUUCACUCCUUCACUAUCUCCUACUAUUCCCUCUAUUUCUACCACUUUCUCCACCAUUCCCUCCACUUUCUCACCAUUCCCACCACUUUCUCCACCAUUCCCUCUACUUUCUCACCAUUCCCUCAACUUCUCCAUCACUCCCUCCACUUUCUCCAUCAUUUACUCCACUUCUCCAUCACUCCCUCAAGUUUCUCCACCAUUCCUUCCACUUUUCCUCCACUUCCUCCACUUCUCUAUCACUCCCUCCACUUCUCCACCAUUUACUUUUCUCUGCACCAUAAACCUCCACCACCCUCUAUCUAUAUAAA
rnacentral:lncRNA from 1 species